GUCCGGGCGGUGUACGGGCUGGUGUAUAAGGAAAAUCCAAACAAACUCCGUUAAGCGCUUAAGCUUACCAUGAUUAUUGCAGAAGAGGAAGUACGACGAGUACGAUAUGCAAUAGGUUGGCAAAGAACACAGAGUCGUUCAAAGGAAUUGAUAGAGUUUUCCCACCUUAAGAAUACCUUCUCUUUCUUUCCAGGCCCAGUACACCUUAAGAA
rnacentral:lncRNA from 1 species